CUGCUGGGCGGUGGGACGGGAGGAGGAAGAAACCCUCCAGUUUGCCAGACGUUUUACACACAUUUUCUCACAAAGAUCCUGUGAGGCAACAAGCUGGAGGCUGCGAGGAGGGGCACGGACACACUGAAAGCAGAGUCAGGGAAAGGGCAGGACGUGGGUCUGAGCCAGGAGGGCCUGGGCCCUGCACAGUGACCCUGGCUUGUCCCCAAGAGUACUCUGACUGUGGCUCACUCAAGAAAGUCAUCUUCAGGGCACCUGCUGCCCGGGUGAGUGGGGCUCUGCCUGGGGGAUGGGAGGAGAUGAAAGCCUUUGGGUGUCUAGAGGCUGAGGCAGAGACGGGGGAGGCUGUCCCAAGC
rnacentral:lncRNA from 1 species